CGGUAAUUCCAGCUCCAAUAGCGUAUACUAACGUUGUUGCAGUUAAAAAGCUCGUAGUUGGAUUUCUGAUCUUUGCCAAUGGUUGUGUCGCCGCGUACGAGGCGCCUUGCGCAGAGGUCAACAUAUGUCACGAGCCAGUGUGAUCUAUUCAUUUAGGUCCACUGGGUAAUGACUCGUUUACUUUGAGAAAAUUAGAGUGUUCAAAGCAGGCAUUUGCCUUGAAUAUGUUAGCAUGGAAUAAUAGCAUAGGACUUCGGUUCUAUUUGUUGGUUGUUCGAGAACUGGAGUAAUGAUUGAUAGGGACGGUUGGGGGCAUCCGUAUUCUCAAGCGAGAGGUGAAAUUCUUGGACCUUGGGAAGACGAACAGCUGCGAAAGCGUUUGCCUAGGACGUUCUCUUUAAUCAAGAACGAAAGUUGGGGGAUCGAAGACGAUCAGAUACCGUCGUAGUCUCAACUAUAAACUAUGCCAGCUAGGGAUCGGUGGGUCUUUGUCACGAGUCCAUCGGCACCUUACGAGAAAUCAAAGCAUUUGGGUUCCGGGGGGAGUAUGGUCGCAAGGCUGAAACUUAAAGGAAUUGACGGAAGGGCACCACCAGGAGUGGAGCCUGUGGCUUAAUUUGACUCAACACGGGAAGACUUACCAGGUCCGGACAUAGUAAGGAUUGACAGAUUGAAAGCUCUUUCUUGAUUCUAUGGGUGGUGGUGCAUGGCCGUUCUUAGUUGGUGGAGUGAUUUGUCUGGUUAAUUCCGUUAACGAACGAGACCCGCGCCUGCUAAAUAGUCGGCCUCACUUCUGUGGGUGUUGUACUUCUUAGAGGGACCAUCCUGGGUAUACCGGAAGGAAGUUGCGGGCAAUAACAGGUCCGUGAUGCCCUUAGAUGUUCUGGGCUGCGCACGGGCUACACUGCAAGAUACAACAAGCGUCGAUCACGCCUGACUGGAAGGUCCGGCCAAUCUUUGAAUAUCUUGCGUGAUUGGGAUAGACCAUUGCAAUUAUUGGUCUUCAACGAGGAAUCCCUAGUAAACGCGUGUCAACAACACGCAUUGAUUACGUCCCUGCCCUUUGUACACACCGCCCGUCGCUCCUACCGAUUGGAUGUUUCGAUGAGCCGUUUGGAGGACUAAGCUGAAAGCGUCAGCCGGGAGCUACGUCCGAAAUUCUGCAAAUCUGAAUAUCUAGAGGAAGGAGAAGUCGUAACAGGGUAAC
rnacentral:rRNA from 1 species